rnacentral:rRNA from 1 species
AUGCCCCGCGCGACGCCGUCGGUUACCCGGGUGGGCACGCGGUCGGCGUGGUCGGCGAGGAUGAGCAUGCGCGAUCUGGUGACCGGUGGCGCCGGCUGCGCGGCGCCGGGAUCCUCCUCGUCCGCCAACCCCCUCAGCGCCCUCGCGGACGCCGUGCUCGGCUCCUCCAAAUCCGAGUCAAACAAGUCUUCCAGCUCUUCUGUGCUGCUUAAUGGCAUGCCUGGACCGAGGUUCCAGUGCUGCAGGGGUUUGAGACAAGGGGACCCCCUCUCCCCAUAUCUGUUAUCAUCGUUGCUGGCGUGCUUAAGAGGCUCCGAGGAUGAGAUCAAGCAAAGUCAGGGACCUAUUAGAAGCAUGAAGGGCACCGACUUCAUUCAUGGGUGUCAUGGAGACACCUGUGGUGAAAAUUUUCAAGCCUCAAUCCCUUCUGUUCCUGAACACAGAAUGAUCGAGCCUCACCUUGGAGAGCUGGAGCAAAUUGAUAGUGCUACUGGUCCACCAGAGAUGGCUAUUCCCCCUCUGUUGCCUCAAAGUUCAUUUCAGCCGUGCAAUUUAUCAGAAAAUGGACCAGAAGAAUAUUCAGGAGCAAAGGAUGGAUUGUUGGAUCAUAUAGACCAUCUUUAUGAUGAUGAAAUGAGAUCCUCUGGAAACAUAAGCACGGAAGUCAAUAGUUGGUUAUCUGCAUUUGAACAGGGAAUACAUCCACGAGUCAUGAGUGACGACGAGCUGUCAGGUGAUGGCUGGUUGUCAUUCCUGCGGAUUGCCAUCAGCCACCUGGGUGGACUUUCCCAACCAAGGUUUCUGGAAGAGCAGAUCACCUGUCAGGAUCAGGUUACUGGGCAUCGUGUAUGGAUCAAGCUACAGCAACGCUCUGGCUGGUCGGUUAAACUGGAAGCUACGCGCCACCACCUCUUCGACGCCCUGCAGGACGCGGCAAUGCUGGCCGUUAUUACCAUGAGGCAGCAUUUCCCUUGCGAGUUCAGAGGCACUCCGUUUGAAGUUCUGCCUGUGGAACCCGGGCAAAGGAGCAGGCAGCUAGACGACGGUGCCGCGGUCGUCCGCGGCGGUGCCAUGGCUUCCGCUUUUACGGGGAUCGAUCACGAUGAUGUCCAACGUCUUCUCGCGGUCGGCUUCAUGUCCCUUUUCCAUGAGCGUUCCCAGUCUUUGCAACGUUUGAGGGAGCACGAGAUGAAGCAGCAGCUGCUGAUCGCGGAGAUAGAGAAGAUGGUGGAAGAGCUCGAUGGUUCCCCAACCCGGACGCAGGAGUUGGAUCGAAGAAUUGCGGAGCUGAAAAGGAAGUCGGGGGAGAUGCAUGGACUUCAUGCGCAUGCUGUCAAAGGAUACAUCGGUUGGUCAGUUUUCGUCUCAAACGAGGCGCAGCAGGAGAUGAAGCCAUUGGAGGAUGGGGAUGAGGUACCACCUGCAAUUGCAAGCUCCUCAGCAGUAUCGGGCAGGGCCAGGCUGUGA